CAGGAGCGUGCAUGCCACUAAGGGCCUCGUGGAAACCCAUCCUUCCACCUCCUUCCCGAGUUGAGCACCUAGGGGCUGAGAGAGAAAUGGAGGAAAGAUGAUUCAAGACAAACCUACUCACCCACUGGGAACCUAGAGUUGAGAGGAGGUGAUUGGAAUAUAAAGAAAGAUUGUAAAGUAGUAACACAUGACCAACGGUCACAAAACUGACAAUCAGACUACAAAAUCAACCUUAAUGUGGAGGUGUACUGGAGGUCAGACAGAGUGGAUGCUGGGACAUUGGUGGAUAGACUCUGAAUCUCUGAUGAGCAAGCAAAAAAGAGGAUGAAGGAGAGGAGGAAGAGAAGAAUGAGGAGGAAGAGUAGGAGGAGAAUGAGGAUGAGGUGAA